AUAUUCCUGCGAUGUGCGUUGAGCUAAUAUGUUUUUAACCUUAAGUGUUUCUAGGGAGACAGAACGCUGUUAUCUAAUGUCAAGCCCACCUCCUUUAUGGGACGAUGGGAAGGCAGAAGGGCGGCUGAGUCACCCACCUGGUCUUUCAGGUUAAAAGAAACAUGUAUAGCAAGACGGCAGAGCGGGGCGUUA
rfam:Brevibacillus laterosporus LMG 15441, complete genome.